rnacentral:rRNA from 1 species
UACGGAGGGGGCUAGCGUUGUUCGGAAUUACUGGGCGUAAAGCGCACGUAGGCGGCUUUGUAAGUUAGAGGUGAAAGCCCGGGGCUCAACUCCGGAAUUGCCUUUAAGACUGCAUCGCUAGAAUUGUGGAGAGGUAAGUGGAAUUCCGAGUGUAGAGGUGAAAUUCGUAUAUAUUCGGAAGAACACCAGUGGCGAAGGCGACUUACUGGACACAUAUUGACGCUGAGGUGCGAAAGCGUGGGGAGCAAACAGG